rnacentral:lncRNA from 1 species
GUAUGUCUGCAGUCUCUGUGGUACCACCAAGACGUCUGUGCCACGUUUCAUCAAGUAUGCCGCACUGCACAAGAGCAUGAAUGCAUUCUGCACGAAGUGCCCAUUGGAACAGCACAGAAAACUGUUCCGAGAGUUCCUUCUCUGAGCUAGUGCUACGAGGUACCGAGGACGAAAAUAGGACUGUAAAGAAAACGAAGAGUCCAGAAGGAUUUAUAUGGUUUUGUGUCAUGGAAGCCCAAAUUACCUGCACUAAGACACAGCAUAAUGGAUUACACUAAGUUGGCACUGAUGGUAUAGUGCCCUAAGGUGGUGCUGCAUCUCGAGCUACCAGAAGGCAAGUACAAGUGAAGAUCACGUCGGAGACGUGCCGUGCUCCCCUUUCAUCAUUGCAAAAGGAGAGAACUUUCUGACUGCCGGGGCAUUUACCAUCUGUGAUGAUUGAUACCCAUGCUGUGAUCGAAUCCACCACACGGUGCCAGGCAUUCAAGUUGAUGUUCUUUACACACUUCGCCUUUACUAUUGAAUACCGCAAGGAGG